AGGGAUGCUUGACCUAAGGGCUAAGGGCAUCGCCUCAUUAGGCAUAAUUCAUGAAGCGGGAAAAAUUAAGCAUCCAACCAGAAAAAUAAAUGCAUGCGUAAUUAAUGUAUCAGAUCAUUUCGAGAUGGUAGAAGUCUAGUAUCCCAAUUCGUGGUCUCGGUUCAGCGGUUCUCCUGAAUUCAGAUCAUUGUUGAAUUCCUUUUAGAGACUCUUGUUUAUCCUAUAAUUUCAUUCUCUAUUUCUGACUCUAUUAACAAGUUUAGUGAGAUAUAUGAGAAAAUUGAAGAUGGUAAGAGAAGACAAAUAAUGGAAUUAGAGAAUAUGAAGAUGGAUUUUUAUAAAGAGUUUGAUUUAGAAGAUUAAAAUAAGAAUAUUACCGGAAAACUAAUCCUUUUGAUUUGGGGGAGUGUUUAGUUUAAAGUUUAUGAAAGGAUUUUAAUGCAUUUUAAUCUAAAAACCUUCUUGUCCCGUAUCUUUUUAAAUUGCAAAUACAUUGAGAUAGUGAUUAAAUUUUAUUUGUUUUUUCAUUACUUUUUUGCCCUUUAUCUCACAUACCAGCUCCCUAUUUCACGUAGGAAGUGGUUGAGUGAAAGUCCUUUGAUACCUGGUACACUCGUAAGCAAGCUCCUUUACAUACCAUCCAGUUAUUUAUACCUCGCUAUGUUUCACCAUGCCAUUAUGAGCAGAACCCAACAUCGGUUGUAAUGAAGCUUUGUUAAGCAUAUAUGAACGGGGGAGAUUAUAAGAGGAGGUUGUGAGCAUAUGUACCUAUCUAUAACAGUUAUUAUUGUAAAUUAAAAAAAAUAAACAUUUUAUAUUUUGAGUACACAAAUAAGGUUUGAUGUA